rnacentral:rRNA from 1 species
GAUGAACGCUAGCUACAGGCUUAACACAUGCAAGUCGAGGGGUAACAAGAGGAACGCUUGCUUUUCUUGUUGACGACCGGCGCACGGGUGUGUAACGCGUAUCCAACCUGCCUAUAACUAGGGAAUAACCUUGCGAAAGUACGACUAAUACCCUAUGAUUUCCUUUGAUGACAUCAGAUUAGGAAUAAAGAUUUAUCGGUUAUAGAUGGGGAUGCGUCUGAUUAGCCUGUUGGCGGGGUAACGGCCCACCAAGGCAACGAUCAGUAGGGGUUCUGAGAGGAAGGUCCCCCACAUUGGAACUGAGACACGGUCCAAACUCCUACGGGAGGCAGCAGUGAGGAAUAUUGGUCAAUGGGCGGAAGCCUGAACCAGCCAAGUAGCGUGCAGGAUGACGGCCCUAUGGGUUGUAAACUGCUUUUAUACAGGAAUAAAGUUAGCCACGUGUGGUUAUUUGUAGGUACUGUAUGAAUAAGGACCGGCUAAUUCCGUGCCAGCAGCCGCAGUAA